UUCUUAUUCUUUAAGUGAUAAUAAAAGUACUAUUCCUUUUUCGACUAUUCAGAUGUAUGGGGUCCCACUCAAACAGUUUCCUUGUUUGGUAGUCGAUAGUUUGUUACUUUUAUUGAUUAUUGCACUAGGAUCACUGGGUAUAUUUGUUAAAGGGAAAAAAUGAAGUCUUCUCCUGUUUUCAGUCGUUUCAUAAUAUGAUUUGCCCAAUUUGAGGUUAAGAUAAAAAUCUUGCGAAUUGACAAUGGCACAUAAUAUACGGGUAAAGAUUUUGGUACGUAUUUGGAGUCUUUUGGGAUAAUCCAUCAAACUAGUUGUCCUUAUACUAGUGCACAAAAUGGGGUUGCUGAAAGGAAAAAUAGGCAUUUGCUAGAAGUAGCGAGAUCUCUAAUGUUUACUAUGAAUUUACCAAAACCUUGCUGGGGAUGUCAUUCUAGUAGCUGCCUACGAUCUAUAAUGUCUACUAUGAAUUUACCAAAACCUUACUGUGGGGAUGCCAUUCUAGUACCUUAUAAAUAGAAUGCCACUUAAAACCCUCGAUUUUCAAAGUCCUUCGGAAGCUUUGAAGAGUAAGAAUGAUUAUAUUGUUUCUCUGAAGUUGUUUGCCUGUGUUUGCUUUAUUCACAUUAGGAGUUCGGGAAAACUUGAUCCUAGAGCUAUUAAAUGUGUCUUUAUUGGGUAUUCUCCAACACAGAAAGGGUAUAAGUGCUAUCAUCCUUCUUCUAGGAGAUCCUUAGUUAGCAUGGAUAUUACCUUUCGAGAAUCUGAGCCCUAUUACAAUAAAACACUAUCACCUCUUCAGGGGAGAGCUAUAAGAAUGAAGAGAUGAUUCUCACUGUUGAAAUGAUUCCCGCUAUUGAAGCCACUUAGACAGGAGAAUGUGAAAUUAAAGAAAGAAUUCAGGAGGAGACUAUUGGGCGUUUGGAUAAACCUGAUUUGAUGACUUAUUCAAGAAAAAAGAGAGCUGAAGAAGUUAUCGUGCAAUCUACUAAAGCUCAACCCUCUUCUGUUGUUGAAACUUCUUCUACUGGUGAGUUAUUUACAUUCCCUAAUGAGUUAGAUGUACCUAUUGCUCACAGAAAGAGUCAGAUCUUGCACCAAACAUCCUUUAUCUAACUUUGUCUCCUAUAAUUCCUUAUUUCCUUAUUUCCUUCCUAUAGAGCUUUUGUCUUGUCUAUUUCUUCUGUGUCUAUUCCCCAGAAUUGGAGGGAAGCUUUUGCAGAUUCUAGAUGGAAGCAAGCUAUGAUUGAAGAAAUGAAGGCCUUGUCAAAGAACGAGACUUGGGAUCUCGUCACUUCACCACUAAAUAAGAAAUUAGUUGACUGCAAAUGGGUCUUUACUGUGAAGCACAAAGUUGUUCGAUUGAAAUAUUCAAAGCAAGACUGGUGGCAAAGGGGUUCACUCAAACUUAUGGAGUGGAUUAUCAGGAGACAUUUUCCCAUGUUGCAAAAAUGAACGCUAUUAGAAUACUUUUGUCUUGUGCAGUUAAUCUUGAUUGGGACUUACAACAGUUUGAUGUGA
rnacentral:lncRNA from 1 species